AUUCUCCUAAGAUAUAGCUAUUCUGGAUGGUAUUGCCAUUGCCUCCAGCACUACUGUCAGAAAUUUGGGAGUUAU